AAUGAACGUUGGCGGCGUGGAUUAGGCAUGCAAGUCGAGCGAGAAGGUUUCCUUCGGGGAGCUGGACAGCGGCAGACGGCGUAGUAAAGCGUAGGUAACGUGCCCUGGGGACCGGGAUAGCUACGGGAAACUGUAGGUAAUACCGGAUGAUCUCCGGCUCUUUUUGGGGUCCGGAGCAAAUGGUGAGAUUCCGCCACGGGAGCGGCUUACGUGGUAUUAGCUUGUUGGUGAGGUAACGGCUCACCAAGGCAACGAUGCCUAGGGGUGUUAGCGCAUGGCCCCCACGACUGGGACUGAGACACUGCCCAGACACCUACGGGUGGCUGCAGUCGAGAAUCUUCGGCAAUGGACGCAAGUCUGACCGAGCGACGCCGCGUGCGGGAUGAAGGCCCUUGGGUUGUAAACCGCUGUCAGAGGGGAUGAAAUGCUGGAUGGCUAUCCUUCCAGUUUGACAGAGCCUCAGAGGAAGCACGGGCUAAGUACGUG
rnacentral:rRNA from 1 species